AGGACGAACGCUGGCGGCGUGCUUAACACAUGCAAGUGGAGCGACGAACCAGGGCUUGCCCUGGGGCAGAGCCGCGAACGGGUGAGUAACACGUGGGUUACCUGCCUCGAUGACCGGGACAACCCGAGGAAACUCGGGCUAAUACCGGAUGUGCCCGCAAGGGGAAAGGAAGCUUCGGCCUCCGCAUCGAGAUGGGCCCGCGGCCCAUUAGCUUGUUGGUGAGGUAACGGCUCACCAAGGCUUCGAUGGGUAGCUGGUCUGAGAGGACGAUCAGCCACACUGGGACUGAGACACGGCCCAGACUCCUACGGGAGGCAGCAGUGAGGAAUUUUCGGCAAUGGGGGCAACCCUGACCGAGCAACGCCGCGUGCAGGAUGACAGUCUUCGGAUUGUAAACUGCUUUUCUCGGGGACGAGGUAAGGACGGUACCCGGAGGAAGAAGCCCCGGCUAACUACGUGCCAGCAGCCGC
rnacentral:rRNA from 1 species